rfam:Candidatus Staskawiczbacteria bacterium RIFCSPLOWO2_01_FTLL_37_25b rifcsplowo2_01_scaffold_44370, whole genome shotgun sequence.
GGUGACGAUUAUACUGGUGUUGUCCCACCUGUUCCCAUUCCGAACACAGAAGUGAAAUACACCAAGGCCGAUGGUAGUGCGCAUGCGCGAGAGUAGGUAGUCGUCACCA